rnacentral:lncRNA from 1 species
GGAUGCAACGCGCCGAGCCGCGCCCGCGGGGCUGCGGAUAGACCGGCCGGGGCAAGUCCCUAAGCUCUUCGGAUGUCCCCAACUCGGAGAGGGCUUGUGUUUGUUUUAACUGCCGGACUCCUCUUCCCACCGGAAUGCCUACUCUGGGUUCUAAAAGAGGAUCUCAGCUGAUUUCCCACUUGCUGCUACUUUAUUUUGGUGUCUAAAGGCUGAUCAGAACUUCAGGGAGCGCCCGACUCCGCUCUAAGGCCAGCGGUGCCCAGAAGUUCAAAGGACUCAGGGCGGGGCUUGGAGGGCGGAGCCAGGACUACCCUGGCUAGAAGUGUUGGAAAGCAAUGUAACAGUUGAAGCGAGGUCUCCUCUGGCCCUCUGUGGACCUCCACGAACGAUGACUUUCAUGGCUAGCUGAAGACAGGUCUAUGUGACUCCAUGACACAUGGUGUCUAUGUGACUCCAGCUCUCCUCCUUGCCUCCUAAGUCGCUGAACUAGCACAUUGAACCCAAAGCUCCAUGGUUGUUUAGGCCGGAGCUGCGACUUUAUGGCGGAGACUUUGCAUUCACAGAGUUCUGGGUUCAGUUUCCAGCGCUGAGAACAUCCUGCUUUGUGCUGUGAAGAAACAUCACAAUUAAAGCAAAGUGCGUGAAA